GCUGGGCUUGGUGGCCCACUCCUGUAAUCCCAGCUACUUGGGAGGCUCAAGUGGCUGGAGGAUCAUUUGAAUUUAGGAGUUUUAGUCCAGCCUGGCAACGUUUAAAACAAAUUUUUUUCCGAACUCUCUUGGCCCAUGCCUGUAAUCCCAGCAAUUUGAGAAGCUGAGGCAGGAGGAUUGCAAGUUCAAGACCAGCCUCAGCAACUUAGCAAGAUCCUGUCUCAA
rnacentral:sRNA from 1 species